rnacentral:rRNA from 1 species
GACGAACGCUGGCGGCGUGCUUAACACAUGCAAGUCGAACGGAAAGGCCCUGCUUUUGUGGGUUUCUCGUUUGGCGAACGGGUGAGUAACACGUGAGUAACCUGCCCUUGACUUUGUGAUAACUUCUGGAAACUGCGGCUCAUAUCGCAUAUGAUCUCCUGAUGCAUGUUGUUGGUUGGAAAGUUUCGGCGUUUGUGGAUGUACUCGCUGCUUAUCAGCUGGUUGGUGGGGUAGUGGCUUACCAAGGCUUUGACGGGUAGCCGGCCUGAGAGGGUGAACGGGGACAAUGCGACUGAGGGACGGAGCAGAAGCGUACGGGAGGCAGCAGGGGGGAAUAUGGCGCAAUGGGGGGAAGCGUGAGGCAGAAACGCCGCGAGCGGGAUGACGGCCUACGGGUUGUAAACCGAUUUCGACUGUGACGAAGCGUGAGUGACGGUAAUGGGUAAAGAAGCACCGGCUAACUACGUG